rnacentral:rRNA from 1 species
ACGAACGCUGGCGGCACGCUUAACACAUGCAAGUCGAACGAGAGAAGAGAAGCUUGCUUUUCUGAUCUAGUGGCGGACGGGUGAGUAACACGUGAGCAAUCUGCCUUUCAGAGGGGGAUACCGAUUGGAAACGAUCGUUAAUACCGCAUAACAUAAUUGAACCGCAUGAUUUGAUUAUCAAAGAUUUAUCGCUGAAAGAUGAGCUCGCGUCUGAUUAGCUAGUUGGUAAGGUAACGGCUUACCAAGGCGACGAUCAGUAGCCGGACUGAGAGGUUGAUCGGCCACAUUGGGACUGAGACACGGCCCAGACUCCUACGGGAGGCAGCAGUGGGGAAUAUUGCACAAUGGAGGAAACUCUGAUGCAGCGAUGCCGCGUGAGGGAAGAAGGUUUUAGGAUUGUAAACCUCUGUCUUCGGGGACGAAAAAAGACGGUACCUGAGGAGGAAGCUCCGGCUAACUACGUGCCAGCAGCCGCGGUAAUACGUAGGGAGCGAGCGUUGUCCGGAAUUACUGGGUGUAAAGGGAGCGUAGGCGGGAUCGCAAGUCAGAUGUGAAAACUAUGGGCUUAACCCAUAAACUGCAUUUGAAACUGUGGUUCUUGAGUGAAGUAGAGGUAAGCGGAAUUCCUAGUGUAGCGGUGAAAUGCGUAGAGAUGGGGAGGAACACCAGUGGCGAAGGCGGCCUGCUGGGCUUUAACUGACGCUGAGGCACGAAAGCGUGGGUAGCAAACAGGAUUAGAUACCCUGGUAGUCCACGCCGUAAACGAUGAUUACUAGGUGUGGGGGGACUGACCCCUUCCGUGCCGCAGCAAACGCAAUAAGUAAUCCACCUGGGGAGUACGACCGCAAGGUUGAAACUCAAAGGAAUUGACGGGGGCCCGCACAAGCAGUGGAGUAUGUGGAUUAAUUCGAAGCAACGCGAAGAACCUUACCAGGUCUUGACAUCGUAUGCAUAGCUCAGAGAUGAGUGAAAUCUCUUCGGAGACAUAUAGACAGGUGGUGCAUGGUUGUCGUCAGCUCGUGUCGUGAGAUGUUGGGUUAAGUCCCGCAACGAGCGCAACCCUUACUGUUAGUUGCUACGCAAGAGCACUCUAGCAGGACUGCCGUUGACAAAACGGAGGAAGGUGGGGAUGACGUCAAAUCAUCAUGCCCCUUAUGACCUGGGCCUCACACGUACUACAAUGGCUGUCAACAGAGGGAUGCAAAGCCGCGAGGUGGAGCGAACCCCUAAAAGCAGUCUUAGUUCGGAUUGUAGGCUGCAACCCGCCUACAUGAAGUCGGAAUUGCUAGUAAUCGCAGAUCAGCAUGCUGCGGUGAAUACGUUCCCGGGCCUUGUACACACCGCCCGUCACGCCAUGGGAGUCGGUAACACCCGAAGCCUGUAGUCUAACCGCAAGGAGGACGCAGUCGAAGGUGGGAUUGAUGACUGGGGUG